ACUGCACCCUACCACCCUCAAGGCUGCUAGCUUUAGGGUGGCAGGGACAUUUUCUUUGCUCAGGUCAGCUCAAAUAAGGGGUUAAGCCCAAGGCAGAGUGAUGCCCCCCCAGCUGCCUCCCACUGCCUGGACCCUGAGGGAUACCUCUGCUCUUUGUGCCAACCAGUGGGCAGCUGCCUCAGCCUCCCUUCUUGCAGGGAUGGGGAGUAACUAUGGUAACUGUCUCCGGCUGCAUCCCAGCUCCAUGUUUGCCUCUCCUCAAUACCACUUGUGUUUGUCUUUGAUGCUUCUUUUGCAGCUUACUCCUUUCUCCCAACAGAAGGCAGAAAGAGUGGUCUUGCAACAGCUUCCAGCCUCCCCUCAGACAGUGUUAACCACAGACGAGCUGUCUCUGCAGGUACAGCAUUGCCUUGCACAACCUUCCCUGCUCGUCACCUGAGAGCCUCCAUGGGUUCACAGCAGGGCUGGUUAAUCACCAAAGCACAAAAUGAGUGGCAGAAGCCUGGCAGGAGCCUGGAGGUGCCAGCAGGCAUCAGCAAGCACCACCCAAGAGGCACGCUGCGAGGAAUGGUGGGGUGGCAUGCUUGCAGCUAGCCUGUGGACAUACACACCAGCCUGGGUUGUUUCCGGAACGACCCUUAAUCCCUGCAUCCUCCCUCCCCCAGCUGCGGAAAAGGGCGGCUGAGCUCCCUCCUGCACCUUCAGUCACGUUCAUCGGAGGCUCUGGGGCACGGCCACUGCUGCAGCGCCCGGCACCAGAAUUUAUGCUCCAAUCUCAGCUGUGACUGUUCAGCACGUCUGACACCAGCUGAAAACAUCUGGAAUGGUUCUGAUAGGAGCCAAGCCAGCUGCCUUUUCAUAUUUCUCUGGGACUGGGAGAUAUUUAUCAGAUGUGAGUCUCUCCUCUCGAAUAAUAUGUUAUCUGAAUAAAUAACUGGUGGUGGCUCAGA